rnacentral:snRNA from 1 species
GUGCUUGCUUCAGCAGCACAUACACUAAAAUUGGAAUGGUACAGACAUUAGCAUGGCCUGUGCAAAAGGAUGACAUGCAAAUCUGUGAAGCAUUUCAUAUUUAA